rnacentral:rRNA from 1 species
ACGGAGGGUGCAAGCGUUGUCCGGAUUUAUUGGGUUUAAAGGGUGCGUAGGCGGCUUUUUAAGUCAGCGGUGAAAGACUGUCGCUCAACGACGGAACUGCCGUUGAUACUGGGAAACUUGAGUAUGAUUGAGGUAGCCGGAAUGGAUAGUGUAGCGGUGAAAUGCAUAGAUAUUAUCCAGAACGCCAAUAGCGUAGGCAGGUUACUAAGUCAUUACUGACGCUGAGGCACGAAAGUGCGGGGAUCAAACAGGAUUAGAUACCCUGGUAGUCCGCACUGUAAACGAUGAUUACUAGCUGUCGGGCUUUAGGGUUCGGUGGCACAGGGAAACCGUUAAGUAAUCCACCUGGGGAGUACGCCGGCAACGGUG